rnacentral:tRNA from 1 species
GCUGGUGUAGCUCAACGGCAGAGCAACUGACUUGUAAUCAGUAGGUUGUAGGUUCAAUUCCUAUCACCAGCU